rnacentral:rRNA from 1 species
UACGUAGGGUGCGAGCGUUAAUCGGAAUUACUGGGCGUAAAGCGUGCGCAGGCGGUUUUGUAAGCCAGGUGUGAAAUCCCCGGGCUCAACCUGGGAAUGGCAUUUGGGACUGCAAGGCUGGAGUGCGGCAGAGGAGACUGGAAUUCCUGGUGUAGCAGUGAAAUGCGUAGAUAUGCGGAGGAACACCGAUGGCGAAGGCAAUCCCCUGGGCCUGUACUGACGCUCAUGCACGAAAGCGUGGGGAGCAAACAGG